rnacentral:rRNA from 1 species
UUGAACGCUGGCGGCAUGCUUUACACAUGCAAGUCGAACGGUAACAGGGAGCUUGCUCCGCUGACGAGUGGCGAACGGGUGAGUAAUGCAUCGGAACGUACCCAGUCGUGGGGGAUAACGUAGCGAAAGUUACGCUAAUACCGCAUACGUCCUGAGGGAGAAAGGGGGGGAUCGCAAGACCUCUCGCAGUUGGAGCGGCCGAUGGCGGAUUAGCUAGUUGGUGGGGUAAAGGCCUACCAAGGCGACGAUCCGUAGCUGGUCUGAGAGGACGACCAGCCACACUGGAACUGAGACACGGUCCAGACUCCUACGGGAGGCAGCAGUGGGGAAUUUUGGACAAUGGGGGCAACCCUGAUCCAGCCAUUCCGCGUGAGUGAAGAAGGCCUUCGGGUUGUAAAGCUCUUUCGGCAGGAACGAAACGGUGGAGGCUAAUACCUUUCAUCAAUGACGGUACCUGAAGAAGAAGCACCGGCUAACUACGU